CUUGUCCUUCAUGAAGUCCUUCAUGAGGUCCUUGUCCUUCAUGAAGUCCUUCAUGUUUUUCUGAAGAUUGAUUUCCACAAAGCUUACGAUUCUGUUAGCUGGACCUUCCUCAGGGAAGUCCUUCUUCAGAAGGGCUUUGAUGACCGGUGGAUCACUAGAGUCAUGCAAAUGGUCUCUUGCGGUCGCACGGCGGUCAACAUCAACAGCGAGAUUGGUCCUUUCUUCCCUACCCUUUGUGGGGUGCGCCAAGGCGACCCCUUCUCCCCGUUCCUAUUCAAUAUGGUAGUGGACGCUCUUGCCUCCAUCCUUGAU
rnacentral:rRNA from 1 species